rnacentral:rRNA from 1 species
GAUGAACGCUGGCGGCGUGCCUAAUACAUGCAAGUCGAGCGAACAGACGAGGAGCUUGCUCCUCUGACGUUAGCGGCGGACGGGUGAGUAACACGUGGAUAACCUACCUAUAAGACUGGGAUAACUUCGGGAAACCGGAGCUAAUACCGGAUAAUAUAUUGAACCGCAUGGUUCAAUAGUGAAAGACGGUUUUGCUGUCACUUAUAGAUGGAUCCGCGCCGCAUUAGCUAGUUGGUAAGGUAACGGCUUACCAAGGCAACGAUGCGUAGCCGACCUGAGAGGGUGAUCGGCAACACUGGACUGAGACACGGUCCAGACUCCUACGGGAGGCAGCAGUAGGGAAUCUUCCGCAAUGGGCGAAAGCCUGACGGAGCAACGCCGCGUGAGUGAUGAAGGUCUUCGGAUCGUAAAACUCUGUUAUUAGGGAAGAACAAAUGUGUAAGUAACUAUGCACGUCUUGACGGUACCUAAUCAGAAAGCCACGGCUAACUACGUG